rnacentral:lncRNA from 1 species
GUAAAUGACCUACAUGCUCUCAAGAAGACUUUCACGGAUAGGGAACUUGUCCGAAAAUUCCUUAGAAGUCUCACUCCGGCAUGGCGAUCAAAGGCCAACGCGAUUCAAGAGUCCAUUGGUGUCUCAAAUGUUACCAUCGACGCAUUAAGAGGUAAUCUUAAGACUUAUGAAUCUACUAUACUUAACCCUCUUGUUGAUGAUCAAAGGAGGCAAAGAAUCG